GAUGAACGCUAGCUACAGGCUUAACACAUGCAAGUCGAGGGGCAGCACGGAGAUAGCUUGCUAUCUUGGGUGGCGACCGGCGCACGGGUGAGUAACGCGUAUCCAACCUGCCCAUUACUCUGGGAUAGCCUUGCGAAAGUAAGGUUAAUACCGGAUGUUGUUAAAAACCCGCAUGAGUUUUUAACCAAAGAUUUAUUGGUAAUGGAUGGGGAUGCGUGACAUUAGGUAGUUGGUGAGGUAACGGCUCACCAAGCCUACGAUGUCUAGGGGUUCUGAGAGGAAGGUCCCCCACACUGGAACUGAGACACGGUCCAGACUCCUACGGGAGGCAGCAGUGAGGAAUAUUGGUCAAUGGACGAGAGUCUGAACCAGCCAAGUAGCGUGCAGGACGACGGCCCUCUGGGUUGUAAACUGCUUUUAGUUGGGAAUAAAAAGAGGGACGUGUCCCUAAUUGUAUGUACCAUCAGAAAAAGGACCGGCUAAUUCCGUGCCAGCCGCCGCAGUAACAC
rnacentral:rRNA from 1 species